ACAAGGGUUAAUUUAACCCAUACAUUAUGUAUACACCAAAUGAUUGAUUAUGGGGGAACAGCUAAGGGCGGCCGGCUGCAGUGUUAAAAAAUAUUUGAACAACAAUUGGUCUAAAUUCUGCUGUGAGCUGGGGCAAAAUUUUGCAUCCUUGAAUUCUUCAAAAGACCGCCCUUGGUUGUUUGAGGAGUAGAGCAUGGCGGCGUAUUUACUAAAGACCCUCUCCUGGGGAAUAAACGGGUCAGCGUCCGGUCCCUCCUCGUCAUCAUUGUCGUCGUUCAGACCCGCCGACAAUAUGGAGUCUGCAGAAAUAUAAAAUUCAAUGACUUACAUUAUUACGCAAAAGCUGCAUGCAUAUCCUAUUGGGGAAAAAAGGCUAUACUUUCAUGGUCCAGUAAUUCUUCAAAGACAGAUAUUAAUAUAUAUGUACCAUUACUGUGCAGUUGCAAAUGGGUAUUAAAUAUUUCUUUUAU
rnacentral:sRNA from 1 species